GGAGAGGUGUCCGAGUGGUUUAAGGAGCACGCCUGGAAAGUGUGUAUACGUUAAUAGCGUAUCGAGGGUUCGAAUCCCUCCCUCUCCGCCA
rnacentral:tRNA from 1 species